CUUUUCCAAAACUUCAGCCCCCAAAGUUCAGCCCGAGCAGCAGAAAGAAAAAGAGCUUUCAGCGGAGAGCUGGAAGUGAUGGGAGGAGGGACCCAGGUUCGGGUCAGAGCCUCCACAGAAUUAUCCUGUUUUUGAGACUAGACAUGUCAUGCCGUAACUGAAUGCCUGAAGAAGGAAUUGGGUGCUGAGGGUGAGCAGAACUGGAAAGAGACUCACAGAACAGCCCAGGUUGGAAGUGACCUGAAAAGAUCAACCCUUUGUGGGAAAUGGAGCCCGAAUGGGAUUAUUGAGCAUCCUGUCCAAUCGCAUCUUGAAAACCUGUGGAGAUGGGGACCCUACCACAUCCCUGGGGAGGUUGUUCCACUGAAUAAUUGUUCUCACUGCAAAAAAUUUCUUUCUUAUAUCAAAAUGAAACCUCUGCCAGUGCAACUUGUACCCACUGUCCCUUGUCUUCUCCGUGUGGCUCCUUGAGGAGAGAGAGCCUCUGUCCUUUUUGUAGCUGCCCUUUAAAUGUCCAUCUCCGAACCGUACAAAAAGAGAUUCUGUUUCAUAUUGAG